AGACAGAGAUUACACUAUGGUAGGGAGAGCUGUUGAUCGAGCGGUAGAUCAGACUACGACUGCCAAGGAUGCCAAGGCUAGGGGUGGCAAACGGGCAUGUCCGUCCCGUUUAGGCCUGCCCCACAAAAAAAUGUGGCGGAGCGGUCAUUGUUGAGGACGUGAGCCUAAAACUUAGGUCCGCCCUAAAAAAAGAGAGGGCGGGGCAGGGAAAGCCCGUGGUCACUGCACUUUUUAAGUCUAAAAAUACAAAAGUUUAUGUAAAUGUCCGUGCCAGCAAAAGCCCGCGAAGAAAACGAGAUGGGACGGGGCAAACAUAUUAGAGAGUGAAAACUUAAAUCUUUGGUCUGUCCCGCACUAAAGUACGGGCAAAACAGACAAUGUUCAACGGAUCAGAUCCAUUUUGUCACCCUUAGUUAAGGAUGAGUCUUCCCAGAUACGCGCUGGACGAGUGGUCCCAACCGGUUCACAUCGGAAGCGGUUGGCCGAGCAGGGUCAGUUUCGGGCACCUCACAACACUCGACGCCGAUCAGUACGGUUAAUAGAGCAUCCUAGAGAUGAGCUGGUGCUAAAAGCUAUUGUUGCUGAUGGAGUGGUUGAUUCAGUGGUUGAGGAAGUUGUAAAUCCGAUUGUUGUUGAGGAGGUUGGUUUAGAGGAGGUUGCUUGGGUGUUCCAACCAGAUGUUGAUGUUGUUGAUUCAGUCGCAUUUGUUACUGCUGACACAGAGGUUACAACUCCUUCGAUCGAACCCUUUGUGCACACCGAUGGAGGAUUCCCUGGAGACCCAUUGACCGAACAAUGCUUACCGAGUAUGCUGACCAUGUAGCAUUACGAGUAUGGCAGGGAGAGGAGCGUCCCACAUUGAAGGUGACAUCGCACAAGUCGAAGAUGAAAGACUCACGAAGAUUCCGAUGCCUGAGCAGGUCAGCCGGAUUAUACUGGACUUUCAGCUGCUUGAUUUUGUCCACUGCUCCUUUACCAUGCUUGAUGCUCCACUACUUAGUGCUUUUGUUGAGAGAUGACACAAGGAGACAUCUUCAUUUUAUCUUCCGUUUGGGGAGAUGACUAUCACUCUGGAUGAUAUCUCCUCAUUGUUCCAUCUCCCCAUCGACGACAAAUUAUGGACAACUCCCGUACUUAGCAUGUCCCUUGCAUGUCAGACUGUUGUACGAGAUUUGGGUGUGUCUGAUGCGACUGUGUAGGAGGAGUUUGACGUUAACAGGGACACACAUCUUUGUAUAUCUUGACUUCGGAAGACGUACGUCGAGCUUGUAGUGGUUGGGAGUUAUAAGGUUGCCGUUAGGGCGUACAUGCUACAUAUAGUAUCAUGUACUCUCUUUUCGGAUAAGUCUGGCGUUUAUAUUGAUGCCCGAUACGUGUGCCUCUUCACUAGGCUCGAGGACACCAGUUGGACCUGGGGGUGUGCUGCAUUGAUACUUCUGUAUACAACCCUUAGAGUGACGACGGUCUUUGAGACCAAACAACUUGCUGGCUGUUUCAGUCUGUUACAAGUAUACUUGAAAUGA